CUGCCACCUCAGCCGCGCUAGGUCCCGGCAGACGCCAGCCGCUAGCCUCCAGACGCUGACGGUCCUGCCACGCUCGCCGCCGCCGCCGCCGCCGCCGACGCCGCGGGCACGACAGAGCUAAGACAUCAAGCACACAAAGAAUUUUAUGCCUACAAACAGGUUAUAUUAAAAGAGAAAGUAAAAGAACUGAAUUUACAUGAGGUAAGUAUUUUAACUUCUUCUUGAGCUGUGUUCUAAUAGAACUGAUAUAUAAUGGAAUGCUUAAACACCUUUAUUUUCAGAAGCUGAAAAAAUUAGACUGAUUUUGAUCAGCUUCAUAGAAUAUUUGAGGGUGAGGUCACAUAAAAAUCUUCUUUGUGAAGACUUCUAGGGGAGUAAAAUAACUCGGUUUUAGUAGGAAAGUCCAGCGUAAGUUGUAAUAGCAGCAGAGUUGCUGCUUGCUGUCCAUUCUAUACAAGCAGGAGAUAGAGAUAAAUUAGUUUCACUACUCAAGAUGAAUUUGCACUAAUUUCACUUUUGAAAAUGUUCCCAGUAGUCCUUUCUUACCAAAGGCACAAGAAAGGCAGUGAUUACUUCAUGAGGGUGGGGAUUUAAGGAGGUGAGACAGAGGGAUGAAAUAGGGAAGAACAUAUAGGGAGAGAUAGGAACUUUCGGGAUUGUCUCUUGAUGAGGUUGCAUGUCUGGGGUGUUUACUAUGUUGUCAUGCUUUCUAAGUUAAAAACAAAAGUGUGUGUGUAUGCUGCUGUACACCUUAAGACACAUAGUGUAUAAUAAUUCUUGUUUAUUUUGUUCUUUGUGUUGUCUCUGAUUACAAAUGUUCAGAAUUUUUAUUUUUAAUUUUAGAGGCCUUUCUCUUCCUCCCUUUCUAAGUUUUUAAACUGGUGUUUACCACAAAGACUUGGAAAGCUGCAUGUUGUAAUAUUUACGUUUACUAUAACCCAACUGUGGUGAAGCUACAUUGCCAAUCUCUUCAAAGAGAGUUAAUUUGUGAAAUUAUUUGAAUAAUAAUAAUAAUGAUUUAUAUUAGAAUUCAUCUACUGGUACUUUGCUCUUUCUGCAUACUUUUUAUCUAAGAGUUGAUAUGGUAUGGCAUUUCAGACCUAACCUUGGAUUAAACUCAAGCAUCAGUUACUGUUUGAUUUUU
rnacentral:lncRNA from 1 species